GUAUAGGCGAUAGAAAAGACCACAUGGCGCGAUAGAGAGCACGUACCGUAAGGRAAAGAUGAAAUAAUAAUGAAAUAAUCUAAGCUAAAAACAGCAAAGAUCAACCCUUGUACCUUUUGCAUAAUGGUCUAGCAAGAAAAACCAAGCAAAAUGAAUUUAAGUUUGCCAUCCCGAAACCCAAGCGAGCUACUUGCGAGCAGCUAAYAUUGAGCGAACCCGUCUCUGUUGCAAAAGAGUGGGACGACUUGCUAGUAGAGGUGAAAAGCCAAUCGAGCUGGGUGAUAGCUGGUUGCCUGUGAAACGAAUCUUAGUUCACUCUUAAUUCUUCUCCAAGGAAACCUACAAACCCUAAUGAAGCGAAUUAAGGGCUAU
rnacentral:rRNA from 1 species